UCGUGGAGUGAUUCGUCUGGUUGAUUCCGAUAACGAACGAGACCUUAACCUGCUAAAUAGUCGCGCGAACGUUUCGUUCGUGGCCGACUUCUUAGAGGGACUGUUGACGUUUAGUCAACGGAAGUUUGAGGCAAUAACA
rnacentral:rRNA from 1 species